rnacentral:rRNA from 1 species
GAUGAACGCUGGCGGCGUGCCUAAUACAUGCAAGUCGAGCGAACAGACGAGGAGCUUGCUCCUCUGACGUUAGCGGCGGACGGGUGAGUAACACGUGGAUAACCUACCUAUAAGACUGGGAUAACUUCGGGAAACCGGAGCUAAUACCGGAUAAUAUAUUGAACCGCAUGGUUCAAUAGUGAAAGACGGUUUUGCUGUCACUUAUAGAUGGAUCCGCGCCGCAUUAGCUAGUUGGUAAGGUAACGGCUUACCAAGGCGACGAUGCGUAGCCGACCUGAGAGGGUGAUCGGCCACACUGGAACUGAGACACGGUCCAGACUCCUACGGGAGGCAGCAGUAGGGAAUCUUCCGCAAUGGGCGAAAGCCUGACGGAGCAACGCCGCGUGAGUGCUGAAGGUCUUCGGAUCGUAAAACUCUGUUAUUAGGGAAGAACAAAUGUGUAAGUAACUAUGCACGUCUUGACGGUACCUAAUCAGAAAGCCACGGCUAACUACGUG